rnacentral:rRNA from 1 species
UACGAAGGGGGCUAGCGUUGCUCGGAAUCACUGGGCGUAAAGGGUGCGUAGGCGGGUCUUUAAGUCAGGGGUGAAAUCCUGGAGCUCAACUCCAGAACUGCCUUUGAUACUGAGGAUCUUGAGUUCGGGAGAGGUGAGUGGAACUGCGAGUGUAGAGGUGAAAUUCGUAGAUAUUCGCAAGAACACCAGUGGCGAAGGCAGCUCGCUGGGACGGUAUUGACGCUGAGACGCGAAAGCGUGGGGAGCAAACAGG